AUAUAAUCCCCCUGUCCUCUCCCAUAACAUUCCUUCUGCGUUUCUCAUCCUCUCCUUUCCUCUCCUCCGUAGUGGGAUGCCGGUGGAUUGGCUGGUGUAUACUAUGCAGUCUCAAUGGCUGGAAGUGUUUACUCAGAGCUUCACCUGCAAACUUCCCUUCCCUGAUGAAAACAAAGAGAGAUAUGCGAGUGUGUGCUAAGACAAAGAUGUCUAAACAUGCAUUUAAUUUGAUCACAGUGAGCACACACUUUCACACAGAUGCAUUCCUUCCUCUCAGGCUUUAAUUUCUUCUCUUUCUCUCACUCAUCCUUUUCUCUGUUUGUCUGUCAGUCUCGGUCAGAUGGUGCAUGGCACUAACAUUUAUGGGAUCCUGCGGGCCCCCAGAGCCCCUCGUACUGAAGCCCUGGUGCUGAGCGUCCCCUGUAGUGAGGGAAACAACAACAACCAGGCUGGGCCUUUCCCAGUACUUCAGGAGUAAGCAUACUACUUACACAGACCAUUGGAGAAGCACCACACAAGCAUACACCCCUACCUUCUUUCUUUAAUUAAUCAGUCAAUGAUUCGGUCUCUUCUCAGGUCAGAUCCACUGGGCUAAGGAUAUCUUUCUGGCGAAUGAACAUGACCUGAUCGGCAUGCAGGCCUGGCUCGAGGGAUACCACCACACCAACACCACUGGUGGUGACUGGUCUCCGCUGCAGGGGAGAGGUGGCUCCAUCCAGGCAGCACUGUCUCUGGAGCAGAGCAGUGACAUCAUCACCAGUCUGCACCUGGUUAAGGAGGGGCUCAACGGCCAGCUGCCAAACCUGGACCUGGCCAACCUCUUCUAAGCCUUCUGCCAGAAGAUGGUAUACCUGUGUACCAUCCAGGGAAAGCUCCAGAGGAAUGAGGUCGGGCUACAGCUACGCGGCCCAGACCGUGAUGGUGUUGAAGCAGGCCAUCGGGAGGCCCUGGAGGGACCACGGCCCAUUCCUUAGAUACCACAGAGGCUGCCACCGUCAGGGGCAUCAACACCUUCAGACAGUACAAGACCGACACCACCACUAUCGGCAGGCUCCUGGAGGGGAUAUACGGGAAGCUGAACAACCUCCUGGAGCGUCUGCACCAGUUCUACUUCUCAUGCCCUCACUCUCUCGCUUUGCCUCCAGUGGUUACUACAUGCCCGCCUUCGGCCAGCUGGCUGUCAUCAUGCUGCUGCGUGUGUCCUUCGACCUCUGGGACCUUGGGGAUUCUAGUUUUAUUUAACCGUUAUUUAACCAGGUAGUCCAAUUGAGGUCAGAUUACCUUUUUCCAAAGGGAGACCUGGCCAAGAGGGGAGGAUGGUUGGAAUUUACUUUCUCCUCCUCUGUCCUUCCAUCAGCCCAGGGAUCCGGUCUAUACUGACUCCAGUAGUGAUCAGUCAUAUGACAGGGGUAGCUCUGUACACCCUGCCUAUCCUCUCACAGCAGAUGUCUGAGACUGAAACUGUGGUCCUCACUGCUAUUGUCAUCUACACAGCAGGCCCUGCCACACAACACACACAGGUACACACACACCCUCUCUUCCUCUCCCUCUCAAAUACACACUCAAAGAAAACACAACUUCUGUUUUCCCACUAGCGCUGGCUGUCGGCUAUAGAGCCGGUUACACACUCAUUUUAAGCCGGGUACGUUUUCCACUUAAAUUAACUAGGCUACUUUUUCAAUUCGCAUAUCAGAAAAAUAGGCAGCAGAGCCCUCCCACUAGAAUGAACGAAAUGCAUCUUCUAGUGAUCUUGAUAGGACAGGUGCCUGUCAAUCACAAAGUGAGCGAUGACAGGGAAACACUGCUGGUUUGACUGUCUGUCCCACCUCCCGGUACCUGUGGGUGUGUGUUGUGUACGCUGUGGUUGCAGUCACAUUUCUUUACACGAAGGGUGAGAGCAUGAUGCUCCUUCAUCGUCUGUGAGUCAAUUUGCACGUCCCAUAUAAUGUCGUCAUGAUGAGUCAAAAUCCAUUUAGCCUAUUGUUUUCUGGCACAUUCAUUUAUUUUCCUUUGCAAUUUGUACACAGCCACAAAGUGCUGGCGCAUAGGCUUACUCUGAUUUGAUUGACGAACAGCAAGCUUGACUAGUUUAUAAAUGGUGUGGAACUGACUGAAUAAAGGCGAUCUCAUAUCCUUUACAUUCAUAAAUCAUACAAUGUAGUUAUGUCUAUGAUAUCGCAUUGGGACAAGUAAACUAAAGUUCUCGUUUGUAUUUUUCAUAUGAACUCCAUCAGGACGUGCCAGACAGUGAUGUUAAAGUGACUGAUUCAUCAGUUGUACACUGGUAGACUUUUUGGCUAUUAUCUGCAGGAACAAUAGGUACAGUGGGGGAAAAAAGUAUUUGAUCCCCUGCUGAUUUUGUAUGUUUGCCCACUUACAAAGAAAUGAUCAGUCUAUAAUUUUAAUGGUAGGUUUAUUUGAACAGUGAGAGACAGAAUAACAACAAAAAAAUCCAGAAAAACGCAUGUCAAAAAUGUUAUAAAAUGAUUUGCAUUUUAAUGAGGGAAAUAAGUAUUUGACCCCUCUGCAAAACAUGACUUAGUACUUGCUGGCAAAACCCUUGUUGGCAAUCACAGAGGUCAGACGUUUCUUGUAGUUGGCCACCAGGUUUGCACACAUUUCAGGAGGGAUUUUGUCCCACUCCUCUUUUCAGAUCUUCUCCAAGUCAUUAAGGUUUCGAGGCUGACGUUUGGCAACUCGAACCUUCAGCUCCCUCCACAGAUAUUCUAUGGGAUUAAGGUCUGGAGACUGGCUAGGCCACUCCAGGACCUUAAUGUGCUUCUUCUUGAGCCACUCCUUUGUUGCCUUGGCAGUGUGUUUUGGGUCAUUGUCAUGCUGGAAUACCCAUCCACGACCCAUUUUCAAUUCCCUGGCUGAGGGAAGGAUGUUCUCACCCAAGAUUUGACGGAACAUGGCCUCAUCCAUCGUCCCUUUGAUGCGGUGAAGUUGUCCUGUCCCCUUAGCAGAAAAACACCCCCAAAGCAUAAUGUUUCCACCUCCAUGUUUGACUGUGGAGAUGGUGUUCUUGGGGUCAUAGGCAGCAUUCCUCCUCCUCCAAACACGGCGAGUUGAGUUGAUGUCAAAGAGCUCCAUUUUGGUCUCAUCUGACCACAACACUUUCACCAGUUGUCCUCUGAAUCAUUCAGAUGUUCAUUGGAAAACUUCAGACGGGCAUGUAUAUGUAUUCUUGAGCAGGGGGACCUUGCGGGCGCUGCAGGAUUUCAGUCCUUCACGGCGUAGUGUGUUACCAAUUGUUUUCUUGGUGACUAUUGUCCCAGCUGCCUUGAGAUCAUUGACAAGAUCCUCCCGUAUAGUUCUUGGCUGAUUCCUCACCGUUCUCAUGAUCAUUGCAACCCCACGAGGUGAGAUAUUGCAUGGAGCCCCAGGCCGAGGGAUAUUGACAGUUCUUUUGUGUUUCUUCCAUUUGCGAAUAAUCACACCAAAUGUUGUCACCUUCUCACCAAGCUGCUUGGCGAUGGUCUUGUAGCCCAUUCCAGCCUUGUGUAGGUCUACAAUCUUGUCCCUGAAAUCCUUGGAGAGCUCUUUGGUCUUGGCCAUGGUGGAGAGUUUGGAAUCUGAUUGAUUGAUUGCUUCUGUGGACAGGUGUCUUUUUUACAGGUAACAAGCUGCAGUUAGGAGCACUCCCUUUAAGAGUGUGCACCUAAUCUCAGCUCGUUACCUGUAUAAAAGACAUCUGGGAACCAGAAAUCCUUCUGAUUGAGAGGGGGUCAAAUACUUAUUUCCCUCAUUAAAAUGCAAAUCAAUUUAUAACAUUUUUGACAUGCGCUUUUCUGAAUAUUUUUGUUGUUAUUCUGUCUCUCACUGUUCAAAUAAACCUACCAUUAAAAUUAUAGACUGAUCCUUUCUUUAUCAGUGGGCAAACGUACAAAAUCAGCAGGGGAUCAAAUACUUUUUUCCCCCCACUGUAGGCUAGUGGAGCGAUACUCUCACACGGGUGCAAAAUAUGAUAAAAGAAAACAGAUUGAAUUGUUGUAAAAGCUAAUGAUACUUAUAUGGUAUUUUCAGAGAUAUUGAUACAGGUCUACUGAUUUAAUCAACGUGUUAACAUGCUGCUUUCUGUGUAGCAAAGCCCAUGAUUAACACUUCCUUCAUUCUUCAAUCAUACCUGUAGUGCAGAUGGCUGAGAAAAUGCCUCUUUAAAAGGAAGCUUGAAGCUUGUUGAAGUCAGCAGACUCUUACAAGAUUCUUUAAAAAAAAAUCUGUGGGUCAGAUGUUAAAGUAUUUUUUUUUAGAAUAAAUGACAUACUGCAAUUCACAGAGUUGCAAACACAAAUUUAACUGAUGUUGUUUUCUCUUCUCUUAACAUGUAUGGACCCAUAACUUAAUUGAGCAUCUAUUCUGUUUAUUUGAG
ensembl:lncRNA